rnacentral:rRNA from 1 species
GACGAACGCUGGCGGCGUGCCUAAUCCAUGCAAGUAGGACGCAGUUGCGAACGGGUGAGUAACGCGUAGGUAACUACCUAAUAGAGGGGGAUAACUAAUGGAAACGAUAGCGAAUACCGCAUACUAGUAGAAGGACCUGCGUUGUAUUAGCGCGGAGGUAGGGUAAUGGCCUACCUAGGCAACGAUACAUAGCCGACCUGGUGAGGGUAUCGGCCACACUUGGACUUGAGCACGGCCCCGACUCCUACGGGAGGCAGCAGUAGGGGAACUUCGGCAAUUGGGGGAACCCUGACCAAGCAACGCCGCUGGAGUGGAGAAGGUUUUCGGAUCGUAAAGCUCUGUUGUUAAGGAAGCGGUACUUAACCAGAAAGGGACGGCUAACUACGUGCCAGCAGCCGCGGUAAUUC